AAAGACAACCCUCUGGCUCGUGUCGGUUGCCGUACCAUCGACGUGCAAGUCGAUAUUAACUAUUACAACAUGAUCAUCUCAUACAUCCAAUAUAUCAGAUCACGUCAUUGGCCAUAUCACAUCACAAGCAUACCCUGCAAAAACAAGUUAGACGUCCUCUAAUUCUUGUUGCAUGUUUUACGUGGUGACCAUGGGUAUCUAGUAGGAUCGCAUCUUACUUACGCAAACACCACAACGGAGAUAUAUGAAUUGCUAUUUAACCUCAUCCAAGGACCUCCUCGGUCAAAUCCGAUUCAACUAAAGUUGGAGAAACCGACACUUGCCAGUCAUCUUUGAGAAACGGGGUUGCUUGUAGCGAUGAAACCAGUCUCUCGUAAGCGUACGAGUAAUGUCGGCCGAUCCGCUUUGAUCCAACAAUACCGCGGAAUCAAGAAAAGACUAAGAAGGGCAGCAAAUCACACAACACCGCCCACAAAAACUUUUGUGUUCUACUCGAGAUGACAUCUACGCAUGAACCUAGCUCAUGAUGCCACUGUUGGGGAACGUCGCAUGGGAAACAAAAAUUUUCCUACGCGCACGAAGACCUAUCGUGGUGAUGUCCAUCUAUGAAGCAGAUCUACGUACCCUUGUAGAUCGCACAACGGAAGCGUUAAUAAACGCGGUUGAUGUAGUNAUCCAUACUAACUCAACGGACACCUUCGGAGAUACUUGUAGAGCAUCUUUAUAGUCACCCAGUUACGUUGUGACGUUUGAUACACACAAGGUAUUCCUCCAGUGUCAGUGAGUUAUAUGAUCUCAUGGUCAUAGGAAUAAAUACUUGACACGCAGAAAAACAGUAGCAACAAAAUGACACGAUCAACAUGCUACGUUCAUUAGUUUGGGUCUAGUCCAUCACAUGAUUCUCCUAAUGAUGUGAUCCCGUUAUAAAGUGACAACACUUGCCUAUGGUCAGGAAACCUUGACCAUCUUUGAUCAACGAGCUAGUCAACUAGAGGCUUACUAGGGACAGUGUUUUGUCUAUGUAUCCACACAAGUAUUUUGUUUGCAAUCAAUACAAUUAUAACAUGGAUAAUAAACGAUUAUCACGAACAAAGAAAUAUAAUAAUAACUAAUUUAUUAUUGCCUCUAGGGCAUAUUUCCAACAGCAGCACGGCGGGCCGCCAGCUCAGGGAUCGUCAGGAUGUGGUCAUCCUGAAGGAUCCGGGACUGGCUGAUCCGCGCGCUCUGUCGCGCUGCCACCACGGGGGAGGCGCCCUCACAGGGCCUAGAGCGGGGCGCGGGAGGGGUCUAAGACACCCAGCCAGGGUCGACGGCCGUAGGGUGGCCCGGGUCCGGGGACCCCAAGGUUGGGGAGGGAGGGGACCCCGGAGAACGCGAGUAGCACACCACCCUGGGCGAGCGUGGGGACGAGGCAGGGCACACCUCCACACCCACACUCACCUCCUCCUCGGCGGCGACCACCGGGCCAGCAGAGACAGGGAGAGGCAGCCUAGUGCCUACCGCCGCCACCGGCACCAGAGCCACCACUGGGGUACCCCGUGUGAGCCCCAACGGUCCAGCGGCCGGGGUGUCGGGGUUGCGCCGAGCAUCAGACAAUUCGGGCGGAGCCCCUCCAGCAUCAUCAUCUCCCUCCAAAGAUGAACCCUCCUCCGAAGAGCCCCCCUCGUCGUCAAGCCCCCCGUCGCCAGGCUCUGGACCAACCGUGGUCGGGUCCAGCGAGUCCACUGGAGCCAAGAACUCAAGCUCUAAGGUGAGGCGCCUGCCCUUGGAACCGAAGUAGAAGACCAAGGGCAGGCCAUCAAUCUCAGCAGGGGCCGAGCAAAGGAUCUCAAUGCGGGCGGGACCAUCAUCCUCAAAUGAUGCCAGGUCGGCGGUGAUCAGCUUGCCCAUCGGCUCGGAGAUUGCUUUCAGGAUGUGAGUAAGCUUGCCACCCCUCGGAGCCACACUGCCUCCCCUCGGGAGGCCAUAGACGAGGACCCACACCUUCUCCAGGGGCGGGACGGGGUCAGGCUCCGCUGCCGCCGCCUGGACGAAAAUCAUGAACUUGUUGAUGGGACAGCGGAUGAGGUCAUGUGAGCAGAACCGGAGGAGCUCGACCGAGGUGAAAGGGACCGAGAAGAUGAGAGGGGCCGUCUCAGUCACCUCCCAUGCGAACUCGGAGUCUCAAAAGUCGCCAAUGUAAGCCGCAAGCUCGGCUCGGAUGACGUCGGCCGAGAUCAACAACCCAUUCGGGGUGGCCUGCUCGGGAGCCAGGGUGACCGUCGCCAGGUGAGGCCGAGCCGCCUCCUCCUCAAUCUCCGCAUCCAUGAAGUAGAAACUCCCCCGCUCAGUACCAUACCCAAGAUAGGCGAGGGUCAUGGGGCAGCGCGGGGGGGCCUCGCACUUCGAGCGGAAGUGACCUGCGCAUCCGCAGUUGAUGCACAUCGUGUCCUCACGGGAGCGCUGGCGACUAACCCGAGCGGGGNNNNNNNNNNNNNNNNNNNNNNNNNNNNNNNNNNNNNNNNNNNNNNNNNNNNNNNNNNNNNNNNNNNNNNNNNNNNNNNNNNNNNNNNNNNNNNNNNNNNNNNNNNNNNNNNNNNNNNNNNNNNNNNNNNNNNNNNNNNNNNNNNNNNNNNNNNNNNNNNNNNNNNNNNNNNNNNNNNNNNNNNNNNNNNNNNNNNNNNNNNNNNNNNNNNNNNNNNNNNNNNNNNNNNNNNNNNNNNNNNNNNNNNNNNNNNNNNNNNNNNNNNNNNNNGGGGGGGGGGGGGGGGGGUCCGGAGCCUCCUGCUCAAGAGCCCCGGGCGGGGUCAGGCAACCAGCACCCCCCGGGAGUAGCAGUAGCGGCCUUCUUCUUCUUUGACUUCUUCUUCUUCUUUGCCGGAGCCGGGGCGGGCAGGGGAGCCACAUGCGGGAUCUCUGGGGACACGCGCCUAGAAGGCCCGUCGUCCCGGCGCGAGUCCGCACCCUCCGCCCAGGUGGAGCACCAGUCAGAGCGGCGGUCCUCAUCACUGCGCCGCAUAUGCGGACUGCCUCGCCACUCCUCCCGGUGAUGGCCCUGGCGAUCCCGCCGCCAUGUGGAUGCCGAGGACCUGUGAGCAGGGGCUCGAGCCGGGGGAGCGCGAGGAGAAGGCGUGUCCCGGGGCCGAGACACCGGAGGGGGACGCGCCACCAACUCCGCCCGCAGGGCCGCUUCCCGGUCUACGUCGGAGAUGGACGACCGGGCGGCCUCCCGGCGGCGAGAGUCCCCCGGUGAGCCCGGCAGGGGCAAGCGGGGGUCCCGGUCCGGGUCCCGAGGAGGCGGGGGGGCGGCGGAGGGAGGUUCCGGAGUAGUAUUCCGGGGACCUCCCUAGCCGGUUGGUACCCACGCGGCCGGAACGAGACAAGCCAGCGCCAACACCCCCCUCCGGGGCGAGGUCACGGGCAGCCAUCACGGGAUGGGGGCCCUGGUCGGCCGGGACUGGCCAUCCCCAACUUGUCUAGUCAUCAGGGCCUCCCUGUAGGAGCGCCUCGGGGCGGGGAGGCCGAGAGGAGAGGACGACCGAGUGGGGGCAGAGGGGGCGGCCGCGGCGCCUACGAGCCGCGCGCAGGGGGGCUAGGUCGAGGCGUCGGGCAGCAGGGUGCCGUCCAGCCGCCGGGGGGAAUCGGGCACGGGCUGGGACGAGGCACGAGCGACGCCGCGAGAGGGAGGGGUAGCGCGCUCGGGAAACGGGGACGAGACAAGGGAACGAGGUGGCGGCGGCGCAUGGUUUGGAGGGGGAAACCUAGCCCCGUGCAUGCCCGGCCGCCUCGGGCCUAGGCCGCGUUUCACCGGCUGGGGAGGGGCCUGGUGGGCCGAAGCCCACCGUUGGUUUAACCGCGCCAGCACGCGCGACGCGCGUCGGGCGGCCCAUGCCACCUCGCUAGCUGAGAAGACCGACGGCCCAGUCCGCAACGGCCCAGAGGGGGGCUGACGGCCCACCCGCCCGCAGGCUUGCCCGGCGCGCUAGGGCACGGGGAAGGUCGCAUCGCACGGGAUCCUCCCGCCGUCGGCACCGGUGCCGCCGCCGUGCAAGGGGGCAGGGCACCAGCGCCUGGCCGGGCCUCGCAGGCGCCCUCACCGACGGCCGCCACGGGGGAUAGCCCGGGCAGCACAUCGACUCGGGCCGAGGAGGAGCGAGAGGGCGCCACCGGGAGAGGCCGCCAGAGCCUGGGCGCCGGGGACCGCCGCCCAACCACCUUCACCGGCCGCCGGCGGGCAGGGCGCGCCGCGGCCAGGAAUAGGCCGAGCUGCGGUGGCGCCAGAGAGACUGGCAUCUCCAGCCGGCCCUCCCCAUCCGAGCGAGGCUCCAGCUCGUCAUCGUCGAGCUCCUCCGCCCAGUCCGCCCAGCGCCGCGCCGACCGGGGAAAGCAGAGGGAGGGCGCCGCUGGCAGGGAUUGCGGAGGCAUCGGGUCCAUGCGGCUCGCCGGCCGGGCGCCAUCAGAGGGCCACGCGCGUCAUCGGUCCAUCCGCCACGGUCGCCAUUUCCCCCCUCCUGUUGGUACACCGUCCCUUUCUCUUCUCCCCAUCCGAGAUUCUCUUCAGAGGGCGCUAUGAGGCACCACGCUUGAAUGAUACGAUCGAAUCAUUCACCUUUGUCUUACUUGCCACUGAGUUAGUCAAACUUUUCGGUCUUUGCCACGUCAGCCCUGCUCCACCUGUCGGUUUUAUUGUUUUCGCGGUCAAACCCCAGCAUCAGUGCUCCGCGUUACGCAUUAGUUUUAUUUUUGAUGGUUUUUUUUGCCCUGUUUUAAAUGUGGUACCAAGUUGUUAUCCUUGCUCCAAAUGUGAUAAUUUUGGGUAAAUAACUUAGUACCAGCCGAUGUCAUGGACCAGCUCAUGCUCAAGAUGAAAAUGAAUUAACACUACAUUGUAAACACCGAAGUGUUUGUCAGGUUUAGCAAAGCGCCAAGGUGGUUGCCGGUUAUCACUAAUCCGCUCUGAAUCACCCGGCUUGUCUGAUAUUGAUACUGGAGCAGUAUAAAACCACCCGAUCGGCAAUGGAGUCAUGCAUGUAACCUGAAUUAGUUGAAAUACCUUGUCGACUGCCAAGUGCCAAACAGAUUUCCCCGACACACAAGAGAGAUGUGCUCCAGAUCAACUCCACUCCCGUUCAGGUCUCGUUCGGCCAAUCCCCUCUACAAGGGCACCAAAUCGAACAGGGUUGCUCUGAACACGGCAGUUCCGAACAAGACAUGCUGCAAGUUCCUUCCCCGCGUCACCUCCGUCGCGCCUAGUUCGUCGCCGUUGCUGCAUGUGACCCGCGGGGAGCAGAGGCUGCGGAGCUGCCCGGCGGCGAGGUCGAACGACGGCACGACGGCGGGUGAGCCCGAGGCGCUGCGGGAGGCCAACGGGAAGCAGGGAGGCGAGAGAGUGGCGAGGAGGAAGGGCGCCGUGCAGGAGGUGUUUGAAGGCCUCUACAUCUGCGGCUACGUGCUGUGCUAUAGGCUUGGCGAGCUCGUCUCGUAUAAGGUGAAGGAAGCUAUCGCCAAACUUCGCAAGAGACGAUGAUAUGCUGGUGGUUGAUCGGGCUAAUUACCUACUUGUUGCGUGCUUAGUCUCCUCCAUGCAUUCAUCCGCCAGACUGUCACUCCGUGUUACAGGUUAAUUACGGACGCAUGGAGAUGCAUUCCCUUAUGUAACUGUCCGUCUGUUAAGUUCGCUGGACACAUAGGAUUCUGUGUAGUAUUUUGGUGGUUUCCUUUUGAAUAGUACAAAAGAUUAUUUUGUUUAUGAUUAUCGACUUUAUCAGAUCAAAAAUGUUAAACCUACAAAGAGUUACACACGGUUACACUGACUAGGAUUCUUUCUUUCUAACUAAUCUCUCCCUCCCUAAUUUUCAAGGAGGCGGGGCCUCAUCCCUCUUAACCUUCAAUCAAAAUCCACCUACCUGUAAAACCCUUGUAAACUUAUGUACGUAUAGCAUUAUCGUUAUCGGGUUAGAUUGAGACGACUACUUUGGGCUAACUGAUUUUCGAGGGGGGUGGGGCCUCAUCCCUCUUAACCUUUAAUCAAAAUCCACCUGCCUGUAAAACCCCUGUAAACUUAUGUACGUAUAGCAUUACCGUUAUCGGAUUGGAUUGAGACAAUUACUUUGGGCUAAAUAACUAACAGUAAACAAGUUUAAAACAAAUAAAAUCGAAUUGUUUUCUCUCGACUCUCCUCUCACGACAAACAUGCCACAUCCAACAAGAAGGCGGCGGUUUAGAUCAUUCCUACCUUCAUUUGCUGCUCCAGUUGGACCGGAUCCUAGUUCUUUCCAAACUUGUACUAGUUCUCUUUAAUUAUAAUUAUUUUGGUAUAAAGGAAGUACUACAUAGUUGUAGGGGUAGUACGUCGAGGGGUGUCGUUGAGAUGGUGGGAGGGGCGCACCAAAUAAAGUUUACAUCAGCCCAUUUUCAUACUGGUGGCAUCCCUCACCGUGUCGUCUUGGGGUUCUUUUGCAUUUUCUACUCGCGGGUCCUUCAAUUGGCGGGAUAAGGUCUCUUGAAUGUUUGGUCGUAAUUUAAUCAGAGGUUUAGAGCUUCUAAAGUCGGACCCCUCAAAUGAUCCCGCAUACGCUCGUGGACGCGUUCCGGACAAGAGAGAGAAGGAAAAAAGGUGAUCCAAUUGAAUCCCUCAUAUCAUCCUUAUAUGUCGGGGCUGUCCGCGAACCCUCAUAUCCAUCUCAAACAUGGGGAGGAUAUAAGGGCUCACGGACGCGCCUGGGCACACCCACUAAGUCCGCCACAUAGGACGCGGCCCUACCCCAGGCCAUCCUUUUCUUUUUUUAUUCAUUAUUUUCUUUCUUUCUCUUCCUCUCCACCAAUCACGUGCAAGUGACCAUAUAUAUGAGGAAAAAAUUAGGUGUAUAAUUGCGCGGACGGAUAAAUAGAUGACACGCACUGUCACUAAUCGGGCGCGUCCGCGGACGUUCAGGGGGUCAUAUUUGUAAUGUCUGAUUGUAGAUGCUCUUAUAUCCUCCUACUCUAUCUUCAUCGAUGUGUGUAUCCUCCAACACAGUAAAAGAGGAUGUGACUCUGAUCUGGAAGUGGUCGACGACUGCUGCGAGACAACAUGGUUUGCCUAGAGCAAGGGAAGAGUCCCGAGGAUGGCUUGUGUGGCAAUCUUCCUUGACAUUGUUGAUGGGUAGUGCCAUAUCUGAGGUCAGGAAGGCAAGGGGGUGAUCCUUGGUCGGCAUGCGACACCGUUUUGUGUCAUGUUGUGUGCCCUAGCGGUGGCAAUGCAUUUCUAGCUAUGGUAACGAAGAAGGCAUUUCCCCUCUUUCUCCGGUUGUUGUCUCGAGUGAGUGAGAGGUCGGAAAUGACAUGUGUAGUGAGCCCAAGCAAAACAUUUAUAUUUUUAAUUUUUCGUGAACUUUAAUUCUUGCGAAGUUACCAUGCCAGUUGUCAUGUUCAUGUGUCUUUCUUUAGUUUCGGUGUGAUCUCACUUUAGUUUAAUGACAUAGACGGUUUUCUCAAGAUAAAAUGUUUACAAUCACAAACUUUCCGGGCAGCAGCUCGACGAACGCACUCUGCAAACAGAGUUUGCAAUUUAAAUUUAAAUUAUCCUCAUUAGUUUUUUCUUAGAACCUCUAAGAAAAGAAAGAAAUUAUAUGAGUUGCGAGCCUAACACUUGCACAAGUAUAAGGUGUUUACCAAGUAUACCAAAGAAAACCGAGUCACAUGUUGCAAUAACAUCUUGUAUUAUGGGACGACGGGGUAUAAGUUAAUGGAAUACUGGAACCGCUUAUGAUCGAAAACCUGCUAUAUGACAAUGUCGGCGGAAUAAAACCGUCAUCACUGAUGUAGAUAUAAUUGGGCUUGCUACGAGCGGCAUGUAGAAAAUGGAAGAUGCAAUGGCAGGAGGAAUUUAACACCAAAUAGAAAGCAAACUAGGAGAUAUUGAAUUAAAAAAUCCCACAAAUUACACAGGUUGACGUGACGUGACAAAAAAGGGCAGAUAAACAUGUUGAGCACGGCUAAACAUCCACGAGAUACACCAUUUUUUGGUGUAACAUCAUCCGCAUCCAGCGGCUAAAAAUCCGAGAACACGAGUACGGGUAACACGUACGCAUCCAGCGGUUAACCGUGCUUAUCAAUACGAAAAUAAUAAAACUUACACCACAUCAUCCGCACGUAUACACCCAUGCGGCCAAUGCAAUGCUAGUAAUCGAAUUAACUCCUCCUCUACUGUCCCUUCAGUAGAGGAAAUAUGCGACGAGGGAGGCGACGAGGGCGGCGGGGGCGAUGGCCACCUCAGAGGCGUCGCUGGUGGCAGGAGCCUCGGAGGCCAUGACGGCGGUGGCCGAGGCGGCGGCGAUGAGGGCGGCGAAGGCGAUCUUCUUCAUCUCCAUUUUUUGGACGGGCGGGCGGGCGGUGGUGCGGCGAAGACCGGCGAGGUGACGGGAGGUUAUUGAUCACGGUUUUAUUGGCUGGCACUUGGAGUGUCUUAUUUUUGCUUGAUGGUAGCUGAUGCUUGGCAGUGGAUUUUAUAGGUCAGGAUGGUUGGGGUAUGAGUGGCUAGGAGCAGGAUUAGGAUGAUCGCGCUCUUGGUAACCAUGGAAUGCUUUAA
rnacentral:lncRNA from 1 species